rnacentral:rRNA from 1 species
UACGUAGGGUCCAAGCAUUAUCCGGAGUGACUGGGUGUAAAGAGUUGCGUAGGUGGCAUAGUAAGUAGAUAGUGAAAUCUGGUGGCUCAACCAUUCAGACUAUUAUCUAAACUGCUAAGCUCGAGAGCGUUAGGGGUACCUGGAAUUUCUAGUGUAGGAGUGAAAUCCGUAGAUAUUAGAAAGAACACCGAUAGCGUAGGCAGGGUACUGGGACGUUUCUGACACUAAGGCACGAAAGCGUAGGGAGCAA